rfam:Hordeum vulgare subsp. vulgare, WGS project CAJW01000000 data, contig: morex_contig_175448
UAAUUACUCCCUUCAUCCCAAAAUUCUUGUCUUAGAUUUAUCUAAAUAUGAACGUAUCUAAUCACGUUUUAGUAUUUAGAUAUAUUCAUUUCUAGAUAAAUUUAAGACAAGAAUUUUGGGACGGAAGGAGUACUAU